rnacentral:rRNA from 1 species
GAUGAACGCUGGCGGCGUGCCUAAUACAUGCAAGUCGAGCGAACGGACGAGAAGCUUGCUUUUCUGAUGUUAGCGGCGGACGGGUGAGUAACACGUGGAUAACCUACCUAUAAUACUGGGAUAACUUCGGGAAACCGGAGCUAAUACCGGAUAAUAUUUUGAACCGCAUGGUUCAAAAGUGAAAGACGGUCUUGCUGUCACUUAUAGAGGGUUCCGCGCUGCAUUAGCUAGUUGGUAAGGUAACGGCUUACCAAGGCAACGAUGCAUAGCCGACCUGAGAGACUGAUCGGCCACACUGGAACUGAGCCACGGUCCAGACUCCUACGGGACGCAGCAGUAGGGAAUCUUACGCAGUGGGCGAAAGCAUGACGGAGCAACGCCGCGUGAGUGAUGAAGGUCUUCGGAUCGUAAAACUCUGUUAUUAGGGAAGAACAUAUGUGUAAGUAACUGUGCACAUCUUGACGGUACCUAAUCAGAAAGCCACGGCUAACUACGUG